rnacentral:rRNA from 1 species
GACGAACCGUGCGAACGUUGUUCGGAAUCACUGGGCUUAAAGGGCGCGUAGGCGGCCUGCUAAGUCGAACGUGAAAUCCCCGAGCUCAACCCGGGAAGUGCACUCGAUACUGCGUAGCUUGAGUCUCGGAGAGGUUGGUGGAAUUCUCGGUGUAGAGGUGAAAUUCGUAGAUAUCGAGAGGAACACCGGUGGCGAAGGCGGCCAACUGGACGAAGACUGACGCUGAGACACGAAAGCGUGGGGAGCAAACAGG